rnacentral:rRNA from 1 species
GACGAACGCGGGCGGCGUGCUUAAUACAUGCAAGUAGAACGCUGAAGGGAGGAGCUUGCUCUUCUGGGUGAGUUGCGAACGGGUGAGUAACGCGUAGGUAACCUGCCUUGUAGCGGGGGAUAACUAUUGGAAACGAUAGCUAAUACCGCAUAACAAUGGAUGACCCAUGUCAUUUAUUUGAAAGGGGCAAAUGCUCCACUACAAGAUGGACCUGCGUUGUAUUAGCUAGUAGGUGAGGUAACGGCUCACCUAGGCGACGAUACAUAGCCGACCUGAGAGGGUGAUCGGCCACACUGGGACUGAGACACGGCCCAGACUCCUACGGGAGGCAGCAGUAGGGAAUCUUCGGCAAUGGGGGCAACCCUGACCGAGCAACGCCGCGUGAGUGAAGAAGGUUUUCGGAUCGUAAAGCUCUGUUGUAAGUCAAGAACGAGUGUGAGAGUGGAAAGUUCACACUGGACG